rnacentral:rRNA from 1 species
GCCUAACACAUGCAAGUCGAACGAGUAAGAGCCGUAGCAAUACGGAGUUCUGCUAGUGGCGCACGGGUGAGUAACGCGUGGGAAACUGCCUUUUAGUAUGGAAUAACAGCGGGAAACUGCUGCUAAUACCGUAUACGCCCUCCGAGGGAAAGAUUUAUCGCUAAAAGAUGUGCCCGCGUCAGAUUAGGUAGUUGGUGGUGGUAAUGGCCUACCAAGCCGACGAUCUGUAGCUGGUCUGAGAGGAUGAUCAGCCACACUGGAGCUGAGACACGGACCAGACUCCUGCGGAAGGCAGCAAUGGGUAAUAUUGGACAAUGGCGGAAACCCAGAUCCAGCAAUGCCGCGGGAGGAAUGAAGGCCUUAAGGUUGUAAAGCUCUUUCGAUAGGGAAGAUAAUGACGGUACCUAUAGAAGAAGCCCCGGCUAACUGCGUGCCAGCCGCCGCCGUAACAC